UCUCUCUCGACUCUCUCGUCUCUUUCUCUUCCCAUCUCUGCUCUCCCUAUCUGGUCUCGCUCACACCCUCUAUUUCAAGCUCCGACAUUCAAAUAGUAGUUAGGGUUCGAUUGGGUAACCCCUAAUUUGUUCUAUCGGAGACACAGCUCGAAGAAGAAACUUGAAUAAAUUAGUAGAUAGAACUCAUUUCGGAGAAACGCAAAUUGCAGAUUAGUUCGAUUGGGUUUAAGAGUUUGAUUGGUUCAAUUGGGUUUUAGGGUUCUUAUCAAUUCUCACUUCAAAUCCUGCCCUAAUUGAAGACAUUCGCGAGUGGGAACAAGAAUAUCAGUGCUGAACUGGUUUGUUUUCUGCUUUUUUAUCUUUUAAAUUCUUGAAAUUCAUGCUUUUUUGUAUGUUUAUGUUUUGGGUUUGUAGUGUAUUCGAUUUUUUGAUGUGGGUUUUGUGUAAGUUGGCUUAUUGACUACUUGUUAGCUGUUUAUAUGAACUGCAGAGUUCAUAUUUUCUUGUAUAAACACACUUAGUUGGCUAUAGAGUGGAACAAGAAUAAUGUUUAAUCAUCGGAUGGUAUUUAUGAUUUUACUUAUUCUAUUUGCCGGGUUCUCAUCAGCUUGUUGGCCAAGUUGUCUCCCGUAUUGCUUCUGCUCUGUUUGAAUGGUUGUGGUCACUGAAGACAGAUGAGCCCAUUGGUAUGAACAUUUUUUUGAACAACAUUUUAAGAACUUCUUUGUCAUCUUUUGAACUACAUAUAGUUCUUGUUGGUAAGAUUGAUGUCUGCAAUAUUUUAGCUUUUUCUAGUCGUUCUUCGGUCAAAUUUGGAGUAUACACCGUGGAGACUUUGUUAAGUGUUUAAUGUCGGUAUAUAUUAAGUGUUUAAUGUCGGUAUUUUUUGUUUGCCAGGUGGAAGAUAUGAGGCUGAUUUGUGGUUUUCUCCAGGAACUUGUGCAAAGUUAAAUUUAGGAGAGGAACACGAAUAGAAAUCUGUUUGACUUCCCAGGGUGAUUGGAACGGUGCAGGUGCAAAU
rnacentral:lncRNA from 1 species